rnacentral:tRNA from 1 species
GGAAAGGUGUCAGAGUGGUCGAACGUACCUGACUCGAAAUCAGGUGUGCCCGCAAGGGUACCGUGGGUUCGAAUCCCACCCUUUCCG